AAGUCCUCAUGGCCCUUUAUGGGUAGGGCCUUCACACGGUCAUACAAUGGUCGGUACAGAGGGUUGCCAAGCCGCGAGGCGGAGCCAAGUCCCACAAAGCCCGAUCGUAGUCCGGAUUGUUCUCUGCAACUCGAGAGCAUGAAGUCGGAAUCGCUAGUAAUCGCAGGUCAGCAUACUGCGGUGAAUACGUUCCCGGGUCUU
rnacentral:rRNA from 1 species